UACGGGGGGGGGCAAGCGUUGUUCGGAAUUACUGGGCGUAAAGGGCUCGUAGGUGGCCAACUAAGUCAGACGUGAAAUCCCUCGGCUUAACCGGGGAACUGCGUCUGAUACUGGAUGGCUUGAGUUCGGGAGAGGGAUGCGGAAUUCCAGGUGUAGCGGUGAAAUGCGUAGAUAUCUGGAGGAACACCGGUGGCGAAGGCGGCAUCCUGGACCGACGACUGACGCUGAGGAGCGAAAGCCAGGGGA
rnacentral:rRNA from 1 species